rnacentral:rRNA from 1 species
AGUGAACGCUGGCGGUAGGCCUAACACAUGCAAGUCGAACGGCAGCACAGUAAGAGCUUGCUCUUACGGGUGGCGAGUGGCGGACGGGUGAGGAAUACAUCGGAAUCUACUUUUUCGUGGGGGAUAACGUAGGGAAACUUACGCUAAUGCCGCAUACGACCUACGGGUGAAAGCAGGGGAUCUUCGGACCUUGCGCGAUUGAAUGAGCCGAUGUCGGAUUAGCUAGUUGGCGGGGUAAAGGCCCACCAAGGCGACGAUCCGUAGCUGGUCUGAGAGGAUGAUCAGCCACACUGGAACUGAGACACGGUCCAGACUCCUACGGGAGGCAGCAGUGGGGAAUAUUGGACAAUGGGCGCAAGCCUGAUCCAGCCAUACCGCGUGGGUGAAGAAGGCCUGCGGGUUGUAAAGCCCUUUUGUUGGGAAAGAAAAGCAGCAGGUUAAUACCCCGCUGUUCUGACGGUACCCAAAGAAUAAGCACCGGCUAACUUCGU